rnacentral:rRNA from 1 species
ACAGGCUUAACACAUGCAAGUCGAGGGGCAGCAUUUUAGUUUGCUUGCAAACUGAAGAUGGCGACCGGCGCACGGGUGAGUAACACGUAUCCAACCUGCCGAUAACUCCGGAAUAGCCUUUCGAAAGAAAGAUUAAUACCGGAUAGCAUACGAAUAUCGCAUGAUAUUUUUAUUAAAGAAUUUCGGUUAUCGAUGGGGAUGCGUUCCAUUAGUUUGUUGGCGGGGUAACGGCCCACCAAGACUACGAUGGAUAGGGGUUCUGAGAGGAAGGUCCCCCACAUUGGAACUGAGACACGGUCCAAACUCCUACGGGAGGCAGCAGUGAGGAAUAUUGGUCAAUGGGCGAGAGCCUGAACCAGCCAAGUAGCGUGAAGGAUGAAGGCUCUAUGGGGCGUAAACUUCUUUUAUAUGGGAAUAAAGUUUUCCACGUGUGGAAUUUUGUAUGUACCAUAUGAAUAAGGAUCGGCUAACUCCGUGCCAGCAGCCGCGGUAAUACGGAGGAUCCGAGCGUUAUCCGGAUUUAUUGGGUUUAAAGGGAGCGUAGGUGGAUUGUUAAGUCAGUUGUGAAAGUUUGCGGCUCAACCGUAAAAUUGCAGUUGAAACUGGCAGUCUUGAGUACAGUAGAGGUGGGCGGAAUUCGUGGUGUAGCGGUGAAAUGCUUAGAUAUCACGAAGAACUCCGAUUGCGAAGGCAGCUCACUAGACUGUCGCUGACACUGAUGCUCGAAAGUGUGGGUAUCAAACAGGAUUAGAUACCCUGGUAGUCCACACAGUAAACGAUGAAUACUCGCUGUUUGCGAUAUACAGUAAGCGGCCAAGCGAAAGCAUUAAGUAUUCCACCUGGGGAGUACGCCGGCAACGGUGAAACUCAAAGGAAUUGACGGGGGCCCGCACAAGCGGAGGAACAUGUGGUUUAAUUCGAUGAUACGCGAGGAACCUUACCCGGGCUUAAAUUGCAACAGAAUAUAUUGGAAACAGUAUAGCCGUAAGGCUGUUGUGAAGGUGCUGCAUGGUUGUCGUCAGCUCGGGCCGUGAGGUGUCGGCUUAAGUGCCAUAACGAGCGCAACCCUUAUCUUUAGUUACUAACAGGUCAUGCUGAGGACUCUAGAGAGACUGCCGUCGUAAGAUGUGAGGAAGGUGGGGAUGACGUCAAAUCAGCACGGCCCUUACGUCCGGGGCUACACACGUGUUACAAUGGGGGGUACAGAAGGCGGCUACCUGGUGACAGGAUGCUAAUCCCAAAAACCUCUCUCAGUUCGGAUCGAAGUCUGCAACCCGACUUCGUGAAGCUGGAUUCGCUAGUAAUCGCGCAUCAGCCAUGGCGCGGUGAAUACGUUCCCGGGCCUUGUACACACCGCCCGUCAAGCCAUGAAAGCCGGGGGUACCUGAAGUACGUAACCGCAAGGAGCGUCCUAGGGUAAAACUGGUAAUUGGGGCUAAGUCAUAA